rnacentral:lncRNA from 1 species
UACCAUCUCUAGUGCUCAGUUCUGCAGUGUGCAGAUCUUCUGUGUCCCCAUGGCCCUGAUGUUAACCAAGUACCCUCCAGAUCCCAGGUAAGCUCUUCUCUUCUGGGGGCUCACCGGCUUGAGGAUAUUCAGCAGAAAUCCUGGUAGGCAAAGUUGGGUGCACAAGUAGCUCUGGGUAUGCAAGUGCAAAAUGUUACAGAAUCAAGGCAGAAAGGAAAAAAAUAAUUUCUUGUGCUCUAAUUUCACUUAAUGAGAAACCAUUCACAUUUUACAAUUUCUGAUCUGUAUCUUUCUAUUCCUAUUCUAAUGGUAAUUAUUAACAGAGAAAUCAUUUGAUGGCUUUCACAUACCCCCAUACUUCAAGUAUCUAACAACCUAUUGAUUCGAUAGCUGGGCAGCAUUCCCAAUUGAGGAGCUGCAGUUUGAUUUUUUUUUUUUUUUUUAAACACUUUGAUCAUCUCGCAUGCGAAGGAUAAUUAUUUUUGUGGUUGAAACAAGGGAUGGAUUGCAGAUCAAUGGAGUCUGGAGUAUGCUCCUGUGUGCAAUCCCCAGUCGGAACAAGUGGUGUCUGCAUCUUCUCAUAGAAAGAUCUUGAAAAAUUACCCGUGGGUUGGAUUUCUGAUCACUACUGUCAGCUAUGGAAAGGUGUAACAUGCAGGUGAUCACAGAAGUGAUCUGACAAAAGACAAUAGCAGUAUUUGAUGCUAUGACCAUAUCUUUAUUUUUCCUGACUACUGUACAUACUGGUGCAGAAAACUUGGAUGCUGCAAGAGGUCCUGGAGGACUCCAACGAGUGCUGAGUGAGUCUGCAGUGGUGCACAGAUCCAGCUGUGGUCCUCCCCCUGCAGAACAUCAUGGGCUCUUCUAGAGGAGAGGAGUAUGAUGGACAAGGGAGAUUUGCUCUAAACAGAAAGGCUCUGGCACUUCAUGCUUUCCCUAGGACAAGGCUUGAGAAUGAUCACCCACUGGCUGCCCCUACACAUGAAGGUAACAAAAUGUUUGCUAUGUAUUAUGUUCUUAUAGGUGUUUCCAUUCCCUCAAAGACUAUGUAAAAUGUCACUUGUUGGGUAAUAUAUGAAAUGUAUCUGAUGAAAUGGCAGAACAAAUCUGUGGUGAGCAUGUAUUUCUCACAAACCUGGCCAGUGAAACAUUUCUUGUUGGGUUAACUCUCUCCAAGGACUUGUGUUGACUUCACCGGUUGGAAGUUCAGAUACAUCCACCUAAAUUUCUGCACUUAAGAUCUCGUUUAGUGACUUCUUGUUUCUGCCCUUAAAAUAGAAUUACAGAAGAAAAAUCCUUUAGUUCCACUACAAGAUAUCAUAUUCAGUGGCAACGUAUGAACAGUGGGUGAUUUUGGACUAGGAAACAGUGGUCUUUGUUUGUAAUCUACAUUCUCAGGCCUGAUGGAGCUCAGGUUGCCACUAAUGGUGGGACUGUGAAUGAUGCAUUGGUCCUAAACAUCCAGUUGGAGGAACAGUGAGCCUGGAUCAUCUCAGGAGAACCCAAAAGGGAGCAAGAAGGGACACCUCAUUGUCUCAAGGCCUUUGUGAUAUCUCCACCUCAUGGGAAUUACAGCUUGUCCUAUACCUCUGCUCUGCCCGUUAAAUUUGGGGAACCGUGAACCAUCAGGGGAAUUCUAACUGAGCAGGGGUUGUAAAGGGGUGUCUCUCCCUUGAUAUCUUGCCAAGUUCACCUCCCAGGCUUCCUUCCAUUUUUCAUGCUGCUGACAAAG